GCUGCAGGAUGUGGGUAGUUUAGCAUGCUGCUCCCAUUAGACGGUUUAAAACUCCAUCCUAUUCUCAGCUGAUGGCAUCAUUUAUGCAAGAAAAGCACAAUAAACCUCUUUAAAAAGACAGAAUGCUAUGAGUCAGAAGAGUUGGAGACAGGAAAUGAUUAAAAUGAAACGAAAGAAAAUUAAGAUGGAGUAGAGAAAAGACAGAACAAAAUGUUCAUAUGCAGUGGCUGUUAAAGCAAGAUGGGAUGUUGAAAAAAAAAAUCAGUAGUAUGGAUAAGAAAAUAAGCCGAUUAGACCACUUUCCCUAGAAUGGAGGCACCUGUGAAAUAUGAAAGAGGAAUGCUGAAACUAGAAAUAAUUCAAAAUUGGGACUGAAGGAAAAAAAAUAUAUACUGGCAAAGAAAGAAAGAAAAAUAUGUUGGUAUCUUAUUGUGUAGUCAGAAUGUGAAAUUUUCUGAGGAAUAAAGUGUGGAAAAAUGG